UUUAUUUAAAAUUUAAAAAAAAAAAAUCUAAACAAUCAGCAUUAAUAAUUACCAUUGUGAAUUAUAACUAUUAGUAAAACAACUCUUUAAUCCUGUAUUCUCCUCUUUUUCAUCACGAUAAUGUUCUAGGAUCUCGUCCAACCUCCACUCGAACUAUUCUCACCGUCGUCGUCCCUCAAGAGUGCUGUCAUCCCUUGCAAUUUGCACCGCAGAGCCGUUUUCGUAGCAAUUCGCCGGACCGUCGACCACCAUAGCACCUUCCUCGUCGUGAUUCACGGCGUUGCCACCACUGUCGUAGCCCUUUUUACACAUCUGAGUGGUUGCUAUUGCAGGUCUUCUGAGCCAGCGCCGCCAGCCCUUCCACGUCAAUCUCCUCCUGCCACCAGCCCGUUCUAUGUGGUCGCUGCUGCAGGCCUCCUGGGAGAGCAACCCCGGCGCAUUGUUUUUGAAUCCGAAUCAUGUACAGUCACUCAAUGGUUCAAUCUCCCUCUCUAAAUUUCUGAUUUGUCCAAGUGCAUGUGUAUGGUAUUUGAAUUUUGGAUGAUCAAGUAUGUACUUUUUUGGAAUUUUUAUUAGUGUUAUGUUGUUUCUGUUAUAAACUAUGAUGAUGAGGGUGGCAGACGUUGGAUCUGUAUCAGAAUUCAUGAUUUUUUUUUGUUGGGUCCUUGUGGAAUUUGCGUUGUUUGUUGAUUUUGGGGAUUUGUGUUUUGUUAUUGCUAAUGAAGAUUAUUCUUGUUUUGUUGAUUUAGUGAUUUUCUGCAUUUACUAUGAUAAUGCUUGUAACAUCAUGUGUUUUUUGAGGAUUUUAAGACUAAAGUUGAAAAUCAAGAAUGAUUUUGAGG
rnacentral:lncRNA from 1 species